UGGACCUCAGAUCAGGCAAGAUCRCCCGCUGAGUUUAAGCAUAUCACUAAGCGGAGGAAAAGAAACUAACGAGGAUUC
rnacentral:rRNA from 1 species